rnacentral:rRNA from 1 species
AAAUUGAAGAGUUUGAUCAUGGCUCAGAUUGAACGCUGGCGGCAGGCCUAACACAUGCAAGUCGAACGGUAACAGGAAGCAGCUUGCUGCUUCGCUGACGAGUGGCGGACGGGUGAGUAAUGUCUGGGAAACUGCCUGAUGGAGGGGGAUAACUACUGGAAACGGUGGCUAAUACCGCAUAACGUCGCAAGACCAAAGAGGGGGACCUUCGGGCCUCUUGCCAUCAGAUGUGCCCAGAUGGGAUUAGCUUGUUGGUGAGGUAACGGCUCACCAAGGCGACGAUCCCUAGCUGGUCUGAGAGGAUGACCAGCCACACUGGAACUGAGACACGGUCCAGACUCCUACGGGAGGCAGCAGUGGGGAAUAUUGCACAAUGGGCGCAAGCCUGAUGCAGCCAUGCCGCGUGUAUGAAGAAGGCCUUCGGGUUGUAAAGUACUUUCAGCGGGGAGGAAGGUGUUGCGGUUAAUAACCGCAGCAAUUGACGUUACCCGCAGAAGAAGCACCGGCUAACUCCGUGCCAGCAGCCGCGGUAAUACGGAGGGUGCAAGCGUUAAUCGGAAUUACUGGGCGUAAAGCGCACGCAGGCGGUCUGUCAAGUCGGAUGUGAAAUCCCCGGGCUCAACCUGGGA